GCCUAGUUAGCUUAGUUGGUAGCGCGUCUGCCUUGUAAGCGCUAGGCCGCGGGCUCGAUUCUCGCCCGGGGCG
rnacentral:tRNA from 1 species